UGAGGAAUAUUGGUCAAUGGACGCAAGUCUGAACCAGCCAUGCCGCGUGAAGGAUGAAGACGUUCUGCGUUGUAAACUUCUUUUAUCUGGGAAGAAACCUUCUUUUUUUAAGGAAGCCGACGGUACCAGAGGAAUAAGCACCGGCUAACUCCGUGCCAGCAGCCGCGGUAAUACGGAGGGUGCAAGCGUUAUCCGGAUUUACUGGGUUUAAAGGGUGUGUAGGCGGGUCUAUAAGUCAGUGGUGAAAUCUCCGGGCUCAACCCGGAAACUGCCAUUGAUACUAUAGGUCUUGAAUAUUGUGGAGGUGGGCGGAAUGUGUCAUGUAGCGGUGAAAUGCUUAGAGAUGACACAGAACACCGAUUGCGAAGGCAGCCCACUACGCAACUAUUGACGCUGAGGCACGAAAGCGUGGGGAUCAAACAG
rnacentral:rRNA from 1 species